UCCAAAUGAAAAACCAGAGCUCAUAACAAUGCCUCCCAUGAGUCCAACUGGAGGUUCACAGUCCACAAGAAAGACUCAUGCUGGUCUCUUUUACAGAUCCAUGCCUAGAAGACCCAAAGAUCAGCAGUGGAAGCCAGAAAGUCUAUGUCGGCGGUGUGAAGGAGCUGUGAUGGUGGGAUGAGGGUUCUACGCUGGGGCCAAGAAGUCACAAUCACAAGAAAGACCAGGGCUGUCCUGAAAUGCACUAUAGCCACCCUCAGCGAUACGAAGGCCGCGAGCUCCUCCAACAAUAAGCACAGGAAGUACAUGCCAGGAAGCCAGCGUGAGGAGUUCAUCCUGGAGACCAAAAGGCACACAUCUUCCCCUCCAGAGCCAAGAAACAAUGCUUGGAGGACCAGAGCUUCUCCAGGAGAACCACAGCUCAAACAGCAGUGCACAGGAGAUCCCACAAUACCUCAAUGCCUCAACGCAUUAAUGUGUCAACACCACUUCUCCUUCUCUACAUCUCCAUUUAUGCUGGCAACCUUCCUCAAGUCAAACAUCUACACUCAGCAGCAUGGUGAUUCAAUUCCGCUGGUGUUGACCACCAGUUUUUAAUCCAUGACAGCCACUGUUCAGCAAAUUAAAAUAAAGGAUACAUUUGUAUUUCAUGUAAGCGAAUCACUUCUAGUGUGAAUACGUUUGGAGCAUAUUUGGGGCCUGAAACGAGGGAGAGGACUGGGGCAGGAAUGACUACUCCCAGUCACAGAAAAGGAAACAGGAAUGAGGAGGGUUAGCACAGUGGCCCGAGACGCACGGCAAGAAGAGCUGUCACUGGGAUUUAAACCAGGGCUGCUGACCCUACAACCCGGGCUUUCCCACGACAGUGUGCUGCUGCCUCUACUGAAUGUCACAACAAUCCUGCAGUGCAUGACAGUUUUCAAAACACUUUCAGAUGCACGAUCUUAAUUAAUCUUCACAGGAGCCUUAUGAGGAAGCUGUCACAUCUCAUUAUUUCUGAGAGACUCUUUGCCUUUUUAACUCUUUAACAUCACUGGCUCCCGAUGCAUUUCAUUGUCACGUUGUACACAAGCCUCAUGGACCAUGCUGUGUCUCUCUGCCUCAGGACUGCAUAAAUGGUGGCAUCUUGGAUUCAAUUCAAUGCAACAUGGUUAUGUACUUUCUGAGCUGAGGUGAUACACACAAGGAAGGCUGUUUGGUAGCCAAGGUGGUAGAAAGUGUAAUUAAUGUCUUUUCAACUUCUUCCUCCCCACAGGCCAGAAGGAAAUCGUACACUGUCUCUCCAUGAUACGCAUGAAACUACUGAGUUUGGUGAAAUCUUGCAGAUCCGCGUUUGCUCCAGACAGGAGGGCAACUAGAUGACAACUUCCAGGGCUAGACACAGUGUCCUAAACAUGAAAGAUGGAGGAGGCAGAGGUGGAAGCUGGCUCUCUGAAGUUGUCCUGCUUCUGGCCGGCCAGCUGGAGUGCAGGGCUGACGCCGUGCAAGGGCUUGCUCCAAGCUUGGGUCCUCGCCCAAUGGCUUCAUGCCUCAGGCAGUCCUGCCACCGCCUCUUUCCCCCGGAGCUGGGUCUGCAGUCUAGACAGUGCUGGAGGCGAUCACACUUGACAUAGAGCCCAAACUUCCCAGCAUGUCUUCACAUAGUCUUGUGCCAACAGCUGGAUCGUUGGGCUCCAAAGAGCCAAUAUCAGGAAGGAAACUUCACUGGAAAAAGAGAAACACAUUCUGCAGGAAAGAGAAGAAAAAUGAGACCUGAUCCCAAGCUGACAGAUCUAAAAUUGAUUUGAUUUCCACUUGCAGAGUCACGUUUGUAAGAGGAAGGGGCAUCAGUCUACAAAAGGAUCACUUCCAAAGGAGUGGGUGGGAAGGCUAAAGAAUUGGAGGCAUGUGGCAAGGUGAUCCUUCUUUGCCUGAAAGAGAUUGUCCUAGACCAGGAAUGCACCUGCAGGUCCCCCUCUGCUGAUAAUAAUUGAUUACACCUCACUCAGCUCCUGUCGCAAAUCACUCGAACCUCACAUCAUAGAGGUCAACAUUAAUGCUCUCAUUUUAGAGGCAAAGAAAUAGAGUCUACGAGACCUCAGUGACCUCACUGAAGCCGGCCAAUUGGCUUAUGAAUGGCCGAGCUUCAGGUUGAGACUGGUCAGGCUUUGUGCUCCAUUCCUACUUCAAAAACCCACAGCUCCUGGAAGUGUGAGGAAAUAGGAAUAGAGAUCAUGUUUGGUUUGAGGAAUCUGGCUGAAAUCAGGGGAGAAAACGAGGUAGAGUAAAGAGAGAAAAGUGUUUAGAAAGGGCUUAAGGAUGAGUGCUGUGUCCUGUGCGUGCCGAUGUAUAGGAAUGCAGACAUCUUCAGGAUGUGUCUGGACAGGAGGUGGAAGGAGCUGGCAUCAGGAGGGUCACAGUCUAAAUCUAAGAAGAUAAAGACUUAGACUAGGGAAGAGGUCUCAGAUUAAAAGAAUUGGAGGGUUAGGAAGUGGAUGAUGGUCUGCUCCCUCCUGAUGCAGGAAAGUGUGUGUGUGUGUGUGUGUGUGUGUGUGUGUAUGUGUGUGUGUGUGUGUGUGUGUGUGUGUGUGUCUGUCUGUCUGUAAUAGCAACCUGCUUCCUCCAAAGCAACCAAAUUUGCUCAUGGCUGGCAGAGUGGCAGCUGUGCCACUUACACUGGUGCCAUUAUGCCAGUGACGCAGCUUCCCUUCCCUUGCUCCUGUCUGUAUAGCAGAGGGAAGUUACCUCUGCUACCUGUCCUGCAAGCCUUCCCGGAGAUCCUCUGCAUCCAGCUGGCUAGCAUCCUCUUCCUCAGACUUUCUGAAUCUGGUCCUUGUUCUUACUCUGGCCUCAAACAUUCUAUCCAGGUGGCUUUUCAUUUGUUUUUGUUUUGUGGUACUGGGAUUGAACCCAGUGCUUUGCUGCUGAAUUAAAUCCCCAGCUGUUUUCUCAUGUUUUAAAUUUUUGAGACAGGGUGUUGUAACAUGCUAAAUUGCAAGGGCUGGGCUCAAACUUGCAAACUUGCUGCCUCAGCCUCCCUGGGGCUGGGAUUACACGCAUAUGCUACUUGGAGUAGCUUUCUUCAAGUCUGUCUCCUUUGAUACAUUCUCAAAUCCUUGAUGAUUUUAUGUCUUUGCAACUCUAACACUUGCAUCAGCUUCUUGCAAGAAAGAGACUUGAGCUUUUCUAACCAGGGGCUCUGGGAGAGAGCAAGGGGAGAGAAACAGGAAAGAAAGCAUUUAACUUAGCAAACCAGAAACUAAGAAUCUCACUACUCUUUCUCCAAGACCUUUCGCCUUCCUUUCUUCUCCAUUUUUCAAAGCCCUUGGCUGUGAUCCUCUUGGGGGAGGCAUCUAAGAGUCUGAAAGAGGAAACUCUGCUCCUAAAGCACUGGUUCCAGUUCCAGUUCUGGUUCUGGUUCCGGUUCUGUGUCAGUGACUGGGGCAGCUCUGAAGUUGAUAAAGUUCUUUCUCUUCAUUAACAUCUCUUGCAUCCAGUGACACCUCUCCAAUGCAGUCACCGUGAUUGCACCAAAGAUGAAAAUCAGGGUCAUCUCAGGAGGUAAAGAUGGUGUCCAAGGUUACCUAGUUACCAGUGAGCAAGUCAGAACCUGAAGCCAUGCUGAUGCAUCCCCAGGGCUUCCUUGCUCUGUGAUGAACCAAAGCUCCUCAAGCUAUGAGGAUGCUGUCGGGCUUGUGAAUCAGUUACCCCAGCGUCUCAGCUGGGAGCAGGGCACAGUUCCUCUGUUCCCUGCUGGCCUUAAGGUCCCACUCAGGAGCCUGGACUGGGCAGGGCCUAGUGGGUACCACAUCCCAGACAGGACACCUGGACACAUGGAGGUGCACUAGUAGAUUUGGAUCUGUGGGUUUUUUGUUUUGUUUUGUGUUUGCCAUAGCCCAGGAUAGAUCUCUUUUGAUCAAAUGGUUUACUGUGUGCUGUGGCUGUAGCCAGGAGCCACUCACAGCUCAGGGAAUCGUUGGAUCCCUUGAGGAGCUUGUGGCUUGCUGCAGUGGGGCAGGGAUGUGGGGGCAUCCGCGAGGGCUGAGGCGGCCAUAUUGUUGGCAAGGAAGUUUGGAUGAUGACAGUGGUGUGGGCAGGAUGUUGUUUAUACAGACUACAGGGGGAGCGCCCUGAGAGCCUCCUCCAGGCACACUGCAGGUGCUCAAGUGGGCCCAUCCUCAGUCACCCCAGUGCUUGGGAAGCAGCCCCUCCUUACUCACCCCAGGGCCUGUGGUCAUCACGCAGAUGGCAUGGCCACUCUGUUCUCUAUGCUGAGUGAUUCUAACUUGGUAUCUGACCUGCUAAGUUGGUGUCUCUGAACCCUAAGUACGUGUAUGGAAAUUUGCAAAGAUUAAGGAAUUUGCCUCCAGUGGACAGGGCACCAUUGCUGGCCUGCCAAUGGCUUCUGCUGAGGUCACUAGGGUGGCAGCUGUCAGCAUUGGAACAGGAAUCAAAUGUCCCUGCCUGCACAGCUCAGCCAAGGUCUGAAUUCUGAGCUGUGAGCUUCCCACCCCACACUGAUCCCAGUUUUCCACCCUCUCUCUGCUCCUUUCUUCACUUCAUGGGAGGGAAGAGCCCUGAGGCUCAUCCAUAGGCAACUGCCAAUACCAGAGAGAUGUCGGUGGCUUUAGUCCCCUGGACUGGGCAGCAGACCUUGCCUUUUUAUCUUUGGCCAUCCCAGCUGCACACUAAGAGCUGGGAACUCUUCCUCCCACCUCCUCCAAACUCCUCUACUCUUUUCCUUUCUGUCCUGCUUUCCGUCAUGAGCUGUGUUUGCAGUCUGACUUGAAGUCCUCCAUCCCCCAUUCAGCAUCCUGAGGGAGCUGACCAGGGUCUGGAAAGGGUCUGCAGUGUCCUCUAGCAGGGUGAGCUUUCCAUGAUACUCAGAAUGGGAAGACAAGCAGGACAGAUAGAGGAUCUCAGAAUCCCUAUGCACGCAGGCAGGAGAACAGUAUCAAGUGUCCAGAUCUCACGGAAUUUGGAAGAAUCCCAGGAAAAUAAGCACUAAGUGUCUGCAGCAUACUUCGAUCUGCCAGGAAGGAAGGAAGGAAAGGAGAGAAGAGACAGAGCAAAGGAGAGGGGUGGAAAGAGCCACUGAGUCCAGCAUUCCUGACUCCUUCUCUGUGUCUCACAGUGAUGAAUGCUUUGAGACUGGAAUGAGAGAUCGAUGUUUCUAGUUCACAUUCAUCAGGAAACAAUGUGUGACUUUUGGCAAGUCAUUUCUCACUUUAAGCAUUUUUGGAAACACUCUAGCUUCCUCCCCACGCCUAUGGAUCUCAAGGUGGAAUCUUUGUCGGCCAGACUUCUUUCUGCGGUUGGAACAAAGCUGUGAACAAGGACAGUGACCGGCGUCUGCCCACUCCAUGCACAGGCCGCUGGGGUCCUGGCAGGAGUGAGGCCAGGAGGUGCGUGCAGGUGCUAAUGAGGGAAUGCAUCCAACUGUCAGUAACUGGUAACAGACUCAGACUUACCUGUCACCGUACUCAUUUACCCAGAUGCCCUGCAAGGAGUCAGGACCACUUUGCCGCCAGGUUUUUCAUCUAGGGACAGGAGCAACUCCAAGCAGUGUGUCUGUCUCAGGGCUGCUGUCUUGCGGCCUCUGCCCCAUCAAAGUGGCCUGGCUUGGCCAGAGCUUGUCCUCUCCACAGCUCCUGCUGGGUCUCCAGUCUAACUGCAGAGGAAUGAAGAGGAAGCAGGGACUGGGAGCACCCAGCACUGGUGGGAUAGGUUAAUACCUUUCUCCAGAGGCUUGCUCGGUUCUCUCCAGACUGGAUCUGUCACCCAAAGCUGCCCUGAGGAAAAACAAACCCAAAGCCCUUCUUCCUCUCAUCUGCACACUUUCUUCUCUGCACCCAGCCACUUCCUGGCUGCUUUUUGGUUUUUUGCCAUGGGGUGAAGCAGCCGUGGUUUCCCUAGACGCUGACCAAUGUGGUUGACUGAUGCUGGACUUUCAGCCCCCAGAAGUGAUAACCAAGUAGAUUUCUGCUCUUUAUAAGUUACCCAGGUCCAGACAUUUCGGAGAAUGAACCCAGGGCCUUCACACUAAGCUAGGUCUCUAGACCGUUUAAAUUUUUUUUUUUUUCUUAAUUUUGAGACAAGAUCUUGCAAUGUCACUAAGUUGCCCAGGCUGGUCUGAGAAUUGCGAUCCUCCUGCCUCAGCCUCCCAGAGUGCUGGGACUGCAGGCUUGGGUCACCAUGCAGAGCUCAUUUCACUUUUUUCUCAUAGCAACAGGAGCUGGAUUAAGUCACCAGCAUCCUCAGUGACUCCUUGCCACUCUGAGUCGGGGUGACUUGUGUGGGGUGUCCCUGUUGAGCAUGUUGCUGAAGUGACCCCCGAACAAGCUGGGGAGGAUUAGAUGUGCUCUAAGAUUCCCUGCAAUUUAAGAUUGAGGGGCUCAAGCCAUUGCUGCACCUGGAAGGCAAGGGUGUAGGGAACGAAACAGGUAUUCCAGGAAACCAAGGUCUUUAGGAUUUUUAGAAAUAACAAGGUUGGCGUAAAUACAGAUCAGCAGUCAGACUAACAGGCCCGAGUGCAGAGAACACAUGAAGCACUUAUCCUAAAUCAAGGUGCACCUUAAUCAACUGGAUCUGGAUUUAUAAAAUAAAUGAGGGAAUCUGAUACUGACAAAACACAGUUUUAAAGAUGGGGGUGGAUGGGGAAGGGAGAAAGAACUGAGGUGUGCAGCGUGUACAGACUUCCCACAGUCACGUCAGCUUCAGGAACUGCAAACAUGGACACAGAAAUAAAAACUUUAGAAAACAUCUGCCAUCCUUCCUGCAGCAGUCAGAGCAUGAUCAGGCAACCCCUGCAGGGAGCUGCAGGAGCACUGGGUAGAUCAGAUCAUGGAAAUACAAUCUCCUCCAGGGCCGAGAUCGCCUCGCUUAGACCACAGCCCCAGCUGCCUUCCAGACCCCACCUGCAGCCCAGAGCCCCUGUGGGGAGGAGCCCACCCACACCCCGCCCAGCCACAGGAGCUUUGCUGUCUUGUCUUUAUGUCUUUUAGACUAAUUUUCCUGUCCUCUGAGAAAUAAAAUAUACAGUGAGGACUUCUUUGUUUGCAAAAACAUAAACUGUCAAAGAUUAUGCACAACGAUGUAGUUGUUGAGCUUUGGAAAGUAAACAAGAAGGAAGGGAGAAAAGGAACAGAGAGAAGAAAAGAAAAGAAGAGAAAAGAAAGGAAGGAAGCCAGCAAAAAAGGAAGGAACGGAAAGGGAAAAAAAUGGAGGAAAGGAAGAAGGAAAGGAGGGAGAGAGGAAUGACAGCUGCACAAAAGAGCCCAAGAAGGCGGAAAAUAAAAGACUUAGAGAGGACCCAGGAAGACAGGGGAGAAGACAGAGAGGAGAACAAGGGGAGACAGGUGACAGGGUCAGUGCUGGGCGGGGCUGAGCGUGGCCCCCUGAUGCCCAGCUUCCCCGCCCAACAUGGUCAGGGCUGCCCCUGCCACCGUCUCUGCUCUCGGUGGCCUCCUUAGGAGAGGAUUUCUGCUGAGUCCACUUUGGAGGGACACAGGGUCAGCUGCUAGGACACUGCAGAGGGGGCACAGGUGCCAGGAAGGUGCUGGACCUCUCCAGCUCUGCGGUUCCACUUGUGCUUUUUUCUCCAGAUUAUCUUUUAAUGAGGUCACACAAAUGUGCAGUGCUAGAAAAGGAUGAAUCCUUUGAUUGAUCAUUUGGUCCAGUCCUGGGGAUGAACCUAAAGUCUUUUUACUGAGCAACAGCCCCAGUCCUUUUCUAUUUUUUGUUUGGAGAUGGAGUCUCCCUUAGUCACUAAGUUACCCAAGCAGGAUUCUUGACUCGGCUCCAACCCUCCUGCCUCAGCCUCCCAGAGUGCUGGGGUGACAGCUAUACACCACCACACCUGGCUUGAUCACUUAUUUGAAAAUGCAAAACAGGUGUUCUGUGGCAAAUAGAAGGUAGUGAUAAUCCCAGCUACAGAGGCUCCAUGGUUUGUGUCCAUCAGAGGGGAGAUUGUUUCCAUCGCUCAAGCUUCUAUUUUCUAGAGAUCCUCUGGUCCCCAAGCUCCAGUGAAAGCUCAGCGCAGAGCAUUUAUUUCCCCUGAGGGAUGCCUGCCAUUCCCUCUGUUACCAUGAAGCCUGCCAUUUCCAGCCCUCUCUGCUUUCCAGUGCAAUCCUUGGAUUUUGUUUUCUUCAUGUACAGCGUUUGCUCUCUUCUGCACAAUUUCUCUUUCCUUCUCUGAAACUUUGGAAAGUAUUUUUGUAUUCUUCUAUUUCCUGCCUUUUCUUACCAGUUUGUCUAAGGAGAAUCAGCUGUUCCCACCAUCUGGUCACAGUCUCAAGACUUAAGAAGAUUGUUCGGUGAUAAGAAAUGGCAUUAUUCCUUGGUUCAGAUAUUCAGGCUGAAUUCAAGAGAUUUGGGGGACUCCAAGCUUCAUCCGGCUGGGGAAAUAACACAGGACAGUUUUUUGAUGGUGAUAAUAUUGCAGUAACCAUCCCGAUGUACACACACACACACACACACACACACACUCACACACACAGGCAGAGGGUGCAAAGCAGACUCAGAAUGAGAUAAGUCAGACUUCUAAAUUCUGCCUCCGUCACUCACAGGCAAGGUGAUGUCGGGAUAAUUACAUAAUCCUAGAAGGCAGAUCGCAUUAUCCCAGUGCUGGAGAAGAGUGCGGAGAAGUAACCUUGCUGUUCUUUUGCUGAGCACCGCAUUACUGCUGUGCAGGUGAGCACAUAUUCAGGCUUAGCCUCCUCGCCUCCACGCUCAGAACUCAAAGCUGGAUUUGGAGGGAAGCCCUGCCAGGGGAUGGCUUCCCCUAGACACCUGCUCUGUGGGCGUCUUCAGCUCGCCCUCCCUGGCACUCUGCUAGAUACCUGGGUAUCAGAAGAGAAGUCUAGCACAUCAAGAGCAUCCUUGGGACCACCACAGAUGCUCACCUUACCUCCCCUCCAUGUGAUUGAUGGAGUUUACUGAGAGCCCCAUCCUUUGUGGACGUAACUCAGACGUUUGGGCUUAUUUCAAGCAAAGACAUAAGUUUUGCCUGUUACAAAUCUGUACUGAAGUGGGACAAUAUAAACAAAACAGUAAGAUAAAUGUGGAAUAUGAUGUCGAGAAAAUGAAUGGGGAGAGAUGAUAAUACUGGGGAGGCUGGACAGUGACCUCAGAUCAGUCACUCAGGGAAACUUUCUCCAUGAGGCAGCAGCUGCCUCUCCUGGAGGAGACCCUUGGGAAAGGGGAGAAGAUGGGUAGGAAUGAGGGUGUGCGGGCUUCUGGGGCAGAAAAAGGGAUAUGUUUUGGUUUUAUCUUAAGUGUAAUGGAAUGAAAAGAGGCUGUUCAGCUCUGGAAGUGACUGUUUUUGUAUUUCUGUUUUUGGAGCUACCUCUCUGACAUCUACGUGGAGAAGGAUUUGCAGGAAAUGCAUCAACAAAAUGCAUAAAGAUAUCUAGAAGAACAGGGGAGGGCCAGGGCAGGGUGGGCUGGGGUAGAGAGGUGGACAGGUGCAGGGAGAGUUUCACAAGGCAUGUGGAGACAAGAUGCAGGGUGCUCCAUUCUUGUUCCUUCUUUUUUUUUUUUUUUGAGACAAGGUCUCCUUGUGUAGCUCCUUCUGACCUUGCAUUCAUUAUGUAGCCCAGGCUGGCCUUGAACUGUUUGCAAUCCUCCUGUGUCAGCCUCCUGAGUGCUGGAACUACAGGAAUGCACGCUCAUACCAAGCCUUGGUCUUCUCCGAACAGUCAAUGUGGAGAGGUUUAAAAAGUCAGUGAAGAUGAGGAAGCAAGAGGCAAUCCACAAGCAAAAGAGGUCUGCCAAAGGGCCUGGCAGGGCAGGGCAGAAGCCAGGAGAGGCCAGAGACGCUGCACCUGAGGAAGGACAUGGAGGACAGGGAGCUCCAAGCUACCGUGUCCAAGCGCACCGCACCAAGGGACUCAAGUGAGCCCACCUGAAUGAAAACGACAUGGACAAAGUAUCAGAGCUGAAACCUGGAGUUUCACCUUUGUGAAGAGAUGGAGGUGGGGUAGGAAUCUUGACGUAUGUGGCCAGGAGAAGGGUGGAGACCAGUGGGGUGAGGUGACAAUGUACAAAGUUGGGCAGAAGGGCAACGGGAUGACGGAGCCAAGUUCCGGGAAAGGUGGCCCUGGGAAGUCACCUGAGAGCGCGCCCAGCAGACGGGGCUGUCUCCCCACAGGAGGGACUGUUGUCCUUGCUCUAUGCCUAAGCUUCUUUUUCUCUCAUUACACCCUCACCUCCAUCACCAAGCUCUACUGUUUGAAGUGAUUGCUGGGGACAGAUGCUGAAAGGAACCACAUCAGUCAAUAAAUAAAUCCACCCUCUGGCCUUGCUGCAAGAAUCCCCAGCACUUCCUGCAGUGGGUGGGUUAGGACAGGGGACACCCGUAAACUCCCAACACUCCAGAAGUUAUGGAUUUUUGAGAUCAGAUGAAGAAAUGUUAUGAAAACAUCUGGGUGGGUCUCAGACUGAUUCUUGAGUGAUUCAUAACCAGAAAUGUCUAGAGUGCAAAGUUCUCAUCCAGGUACAACCCUGCCUCAUUCCCAUCACCUCCCAGCCUAAACUUUCCUUUGAGUAGUGCUUCUAGAAAUUUCUUUACUCAAAUAUAAGUGUCUUUAACACCAGAAGACUCCCACCCCUAAUGCAUUUUAUCAAGUGCUCUAGAUUUUUUAGGGAGCAUUCUUGGGGUGGGUGGGUAGGAAGAGAGCACCCAAGACCAAUCCUGGGGACCCAAACACAAGGGACAGCAGGAAAGGAGCAGGCGUGUCCUCCCCCACUUUAGGACCACACUGCCUCAUUCUUACAAGAGAGGCCAUCUUUUAAAUGGCUUCUGUUCAAAACUCCCUCCUGCCCCUCUUGAAAUUUCACAGCUGUGAGACAGAGAUUUUGAAAGGCGGAAAGACAAGGGGGAUUUUUUCCUUCCUUCAACUGCCGUUUCCCAAGUGGUAUUAAUAAACAUCCGAGCUUCAAAAACUUAACUUGAUGUUUCUACACCCUUCCCCUUACUGGGAAGGGGUUGGGUUCCCCUGGGUUUCUGUCUUGGAGAAUGUCCUACUCCAGUGAGCUUUGUGGUGUGUGCACUGCACAUGUGGAUUUCCAUGUACUUCUGAAAUGCAUAUAAAAUUGCAUUUUAGCUUUUAUACGUGCCCAGUAUUGGGAAACUGGUCCUUAUUCUAGAGACAGACAUCUCAAAAGCAUGAGCCCAAAGAUCAGUAACAUAGGGCAUAGAAGAUAAAAAUACACAUAGUCUCUAAACAAAACGACUGGUAGUUUUGGGUCUCAGCUGUCCUAUAAGCCAUCAGUGUGAUCUUGGUUAUGCCACCUAUUCAUUCUGUCUAUUUUUUUCACUUGUGAAAUGAGGAUAAUAAUACUUGCAUGCAAUAAACCUUGAGAUUUAAAUUUAAAUAGGUAACGCAUUUAAAUCACUUGCAUACAUCCUGUCCAAUAAAUAAUUAUUAUUCAUAAUUUAAUAAUAGCAUGCAUAGCUACUGAAAUAGGAUGGGAAAAGAUAGUGGGAGGAGAAGGACAGAGGAGUGACAGAUGGAAGACAAUGGGUUUUGGAUGUCCAGGCAUUUGAACAUCGCUAAGACAAGGACUUACGGGCAGGAAAUUUAAACAUAGAGAAUAGAGUGAAAAGUAUCAGCGAAGACCUGUGAACACCCAGAUCCUUGAAGAGUCCCUAUCUGGAAGCCAUUGUCCUAUUCCAAACGACCCAGGGUGGCAAACCCACGGGAUGGUAACUUAAGACAUGUGCCUGGCACAUGUUGGAUCCCCAGCCUGCACUUGCAGCUGGAGGUUCUUUGUUGACGUCACCCACAUGGAAAUAUGGAUCUCGAGGUGACCUGCAUUCCACGUGACAUGAGACUGUGACUAGGGAGGGGACAACAUUACCAUGAGUAACUCUGCUCCAUUUCCUACCUGGCCUGGGGACAGGUGACACUUGGGGGGCGCUCACGUGCAUCCAGAGGAACGCAGUCACUUUCCCAUCCCCUCCGGAGAACACACGAUGACACUUUUAAAGACAUCUGUGAGAGCUCAUUUCAUAGACAACUCCGUACCUGCCACGUUGCUUGAUUUGAUGGUGUGAGAAAGGCGGUGUGCUAGAGGAGGAGCAGGACUUUUGAACCCAGGCACUGUAAGGUUGAAUUCUUUCUUUCUUUAUGCCUACUGUCAUGUGAUUAGCAAGACCACUACUGGAGUUUGGCUGCCUUGUGCCUAAAACCAAGGCUACUAAUCCAUCCCAACUUGUGUGAUUGGCAGAGAGACUGAGCUAAUAAUCAUGCCACAUGCUAAAGACUGUAACAGGCAAACAGUAAGAGACAGGGACUUGAUUUGCUGAGGCUAUUUUGUCUGAUGAGUGGAGAUCUGUAAGUGCAUGCACCUGGCUAUACUUCUCCUUGGUUAGGAAUUCCAUUAGUGAUUUGAGAGUUCAGAAAUACCAGGGUGGAUAAAGGAAUCUGGAGAAGACACAGAUGCCUGAUUUUCUAAGACUGAGCUUGACAUGUGUCAUCACCCUGCUGAAAAUUUCCCCCUGUUCCCAAUCACUUUCAGAAUGAAGUCUCCCCUUCCUCUUCCACUGCUGAGGGUUCUUUUGUUCAGUUUGGAUAGAAAACAUUAAGAAGCAAAAUGUGGCUCUUUAGUAUCAACAUCCUUAAACUUUGAAUGCCAGCAAGUGUCAGGGUGUUUAGUACUUAGUGUUUAGUCAGUGAUCUGUCUGGAGGAAGGAAGGAACAGUAGUGUAUGAAUAUUUCUUUUAGGAAGAUUUCCAUUUUAAAGCAGAAAAACUGGAAUUUAAAAAAGCAGAAGAAUAAAGAAAUGACAUACAGAACGUCAA